rnacentral:rRNA from 1 species
AUUGAACGCUGGCGGAAUGCUUUACACAUGCAAGUCGAACGGUAGAGGGGGCAACCCCUCGAGAGUGGCGAACGGGUGAGUAAUAUAUCGGAACGUGCCCAGUCGUGGGGGAUAACGUAGCGAAAGUUACGCUAAUACCGCAUACGAUCUACGGAUGAAAGCGGGGGACCGUAAGGCCUCGCGCGAUUGGAGCGGCCGAUAUCAGAUUAGGUAGUUGGUGGGGUAAAGGCUCACCAAGCCAACGAUCUGUAGCUGGUCUGAGAGGACGACCAGCCACACUGGAACUGAGACACGGUCCAGACUCCUACGGGAGGCAGCAGUGGGGAAUUUUGGACAAUGGACGCAAGUCUGAUCCAGCCAUUCCGCGUGCAGGAUGAAGGCCCUCGGGUUGUAAACUGCUUUUGUACGGAACGAAAAGGUCUGGGUUAAUACCCUGGGCUCAUGACGGUACCGUAAGAAUAAGCACCGGCUAACUACGUG